AUUGAACGCUGGCGGCAGGCUUAACACAUGCAAGUCGAACGAUGAGUCUCUAGCUUGCUAGAGAUGAUUAGUGGCGGACGGGUGAGUAACAUUUAGGAAUCUACCUAGUAGUGGGGGAUAGCUCGGGGAAACUCGAAUUAAUACCGCAUACGACCUACGGGUGAAAGGGGGCGCAAGCUCUUGCUAUUAGAUGAGCCUAAAUCAGAUUAGCUAGUUGGUGGGGUAAAGGCCCACCAAGGCGACGAUCUGUAACUGGUCUGAGAGGAUGAUCAGUCACACCGGAACUGAGACACGGUCCGGACUCCUACGGGAGGCAGCAGUGGGGAAUAUUGGACAAUGGGGGCAACCCUGAUCCAGCCAUGCCGCGUGUGUGAAGAAGGCCUUUUGGUUGUAAAGCACUUUAAGCAGGGAGGAGAGGCUAAUGGCUAAUACCCAUUAGAUUAGACGUUACCUGCAGAAUAAGCACCGGCUAACUCUGUG
rnacentral:rRNA from 1 species